rnacentral:lncRNA from 1 species
UACUACGGACCCCGUAGCAGAUGCUACGACCCGUAGCAGGCAAGGCCCUAAAUUUUUUUGGCAAAACAGAAACCGACUACGGGCGCCCGUAGUAGGUCCUGCGGGGGAAAAUUCCGAUUUUUUGAAAAAACUUUUAAAAUUCAUUCAACCCUCCAAUUUCUCUCACCUUGGGCCCAUUUAUCAUUCAUUACCCAAUAAAAUCUCAUCAAAUCCACCA